GAGCAAGGAUGCUGAUUGUGUCCCAGCACCAGGCAGUGGCACUCCCAGCAUAGGACAGUGGAGGCGGGACGCUCAUUCAGCAACAGCCUGACCACGUCGAAUGGCAAAGGGCUCCCCAGACUGACAUCUUCACCUCAGGUCUAACAUUUUUUGAAAUAAAAAGCUGGGAAGAAAACACACUCUAGAAGAAUGAACCAGUCGAAGCAUUCAUCUGGCAAUAUCGAUCAAAACUGUUAAUACCCACACCCCUUAACCUGCAGUGCACUGACAGGAAGAAGAAGCAUUAAGAGAGCUACUCUAGAUCUAAUUUGGAAAAGAACAGAAGAUCCCGUUCACCCAGCCAUGUGUUAUUGAGGGGCCUGCUGUGCUAUGGGGCCAGUUCAGCAGGUGACGAAAUAGACAAAACCCCCCACCUUCCUUACUUUCAAGGGGGGAGAGAGGAGUAAACACAGAGCAUGUCAGGCAGCAACAAGGGACAGGAAAGCAGGAAAGGAGUGAAGGGGCCUGGGAAGUGGGUUUGCAAGGACAGAUGAGGAGGCCCGGAAGGUGAGCAUCAGUCAGUGAGAAUCACCCGUGUCUGCGGAAUAGCCGUCAGGCAGAGGCCAGGGAUAGGCGGGAGUACGGGACAUGAAGUCAGGCCUCCCAGGCCUGUGGCCCAGGGAGCAAAGGCUCCCCUUUGCCUGCAGUGACGGGGGGGCAGCUGCAGGGCAGGACGCUGUGACCUAUAGUCGAAUAGGCUCACCCCUGCUGCUGUGCUGAGCAGCCUUCAGGGAGACCAGUAUGAGAACCCACGGUGAGGCAGCGGUGGCUUAGCCAGCUAGCAGCAGGAGAGGAUGACAGGAGGUGGGAUCCUGGCUGUAUCUUCAACACUAAGCCGACAGGACUUGCCGACAGGGUGGAUGGGGGGGUGUGAGAGGAAGAGAACAGUCCAGGACAACUCC